UAAGGAAUAUUGGACAAUGGAGGCAACUCUGAUCCAGCCAUGCCGCGUGAAGGAAUAAGGCCCUAUGGGUUGUAAACUUCUUUUAGACGGGACAAAACCCCUUUACGUGUAAAGGGUUGAUGGUACUGUCAGAAUAAGCAUCGGCUAACUUCGUGCCAGCAGCCGCGGUAAUACGAAGGAUGCAAGCGUUAUCCGGAGUUAUUGGGUUUAAAGGGUGCGUAGGCGGACUAAUAAGUCAGUGGUGAAAGCCUGCAGCUUAACUGCAGAAUUGCCAUUGAUACUGUUAGUCUUGAGUACAGUUGAGGUAGGCGGAAUGUGUCAUGUAGCGGUGAAAUGCUUAGAUAUGACACAGAACACCGAUUGCGAAGGCAGCUUGCUAAGCUGUAACUGACGCUGAGGCACGAAAGCGCGGGGAGCAAACA
rnacentral:rRNA from 1 species